rnacentral:lncRNA from 1 species
CUCCACCCCACAACUGCCUCACAAGCAUCCCAGAGUCCAGUCAGCAGACAGCAGAAGAGACUGUCAGCAGACCACCUUGGAGGGGAUGCUUGGAGCUGCCUAACGUGUGAUUCAAAGAUGAAUUCCAUGUGUUUGGAGAAGAAGCCCUAGCCUCAACACAAAGGUUGGCCACAUUCCAGCCAAGGUAGCACGGAGUGAAGGCCCGUGGAGGGAGAGCUGGGCUUUUCUGAACUACUUCAGUACACCUUGCUGUGCCUUGGCCUGCCGUGUUUCAUCCCCAUGGCUGUCCUCAGUGAUGUGCAUGGUCACUGCUCCCUUCACCACUGAGAAGACGGGCACAGGACAGUCAGGGGAUGUGUCCAAGGUCCCACAGCAGGAAGGGCUGGAGCCAGAAUGUGGUCUGAGAGGCUGGAUAUACAAAGAGACAAUGGCAUGACCAUCUGUACAAAUGGAACUAUGGCCCACAACCUGCAGCAGCCAGCCCAGGAAGCCAACCCGUCACCUGCAGCAGCCAGGAUGGAUGCUGGCCUGCCCUCAGUUGUACUCACAUCAUUGGUCUUAUGGGGAAAUUUUAAGACCUCCCACUUGUAAGGUUUUAUAGCCCUCUAUGGAAUAUUGAAGAAAGAGUAAAAUGCAUCCAAAAAAAAAAAAAAACACUAAACUGGAUAAAUUCUAAGGCCUCUUCAGGUCUUAAGAUGGCCAUUUUCUAGGUCCUCUUGCUGCAGCAGUGAAAUCCACAAACACGGACAAGUCAGUCAGUUACGUGCCUUUCAGAGAAAACUUCUGACUUAGGAAUUCCAGCUAUUUGGCCCAACCCAUAUUAGAUUGUGUUAUAAAGACAUGGUAAAUUACAUCACGAAGGGAAGAGCAGAGGAAACAUAAUAUUCCUUCAAGACCCAUCAGCUCAGAUGUUAGCAGAACACCCCUAAGGAGGAAAACAAGAAAUUUUGGGUUUGAACUUGGUACUUCCCAGCAGCCCUGGGAGUGGGGUCAGAAGCCCUGCUGGGGGCCAAAGAACUCUGAGGAUCAAAGAUGUUGAGCAUCACCUUAGAGGCCAAAGAUCAGAACAGUGGAGGUGGCCUUUGAAGCCCAACCUGUCUUUCACCAGAGAGUGAGAACGGCCUCUAUUUCCAGGAAGCUCACUGCAGCAAUAAUCAUGAUGCUCUGAGCCUGACAAGGUGAGAAUUUACUUUCAGCACCUGCAAUAGUUUCCUAUUAAAGUUACAUAUGAAACCCUGCCGUCUUGUACCAACUAAUGUUCACACCAGCGUUCCUAUUUUCAAGAUAAAUUGCAAAAUAAAAACUCUUGUUUUCGUUAGCAAAAGAAAACUUCUUUAGGAGGAUAAAAGGGAGAUGAAGAAACAGAAAACACAUCAGCUCUCCAUCCAGAUUACAGAAAGCAGAAAACAUCCUGAAGUGAAUAACAUAGGAAUCGCUCUUUUUCCCCCCUGAGAUAGCAGGUUACUUAUGAGAAACAAGCUUGAAAUCUCUGCACCUGGACCAGCUUCCAGAGGCUUUUGUCCUGACCAGCUGGCUUUGGGGAAGUAAAGGAAACCAGAGAAGAAGAGGCUGAAAGAAUUGGUUUCCACCGUGACCUUUGAACCCUCGGGCGAGUUGUCAGCCUCACUGAGGAUGAGUGUACUCCAUAUCAAGUGAGGUCACUUUACUCGCAAGCUUGUUGUGAGGACUGAAUGAAACCUUUUCUUUUUUCUUGGAGUUUCAGAGCAACGUCCCUGAGCCCAGCCCCACACUGGCUUGAGCCCUGUCGUCGGUCAAGACACGGUGCUUUCUCCCCUCCCCUCUGCACUCCAGCUUACUCUGCAGUCAGGAGGUGGCACCACGAUCCCCUUUAAGACUUUGCCACUUGGGCCAGCUGCGCCCCUGUGAAAUUCCCUGUUUCUAUUGCAGGCCACAAGGACGAGCUGAGAAAUGGCUUCCAGUCACCAUCUAGAUUAGAAAGCCUAUAUUUCAAAUAUAGAUAUAUCAAUUAUGCCUGUAAAAAGACAUUAAAUCCCACAGGGCUGUAAUUCCUAGACUCUACGAAUUUCAUCUUGCACCAAAUUUUAUUAUUUCAUUUAUAAUUCGGAUUCUUCAAAUCUAAGAGUGCCUGGCUCAAAAUUAAAAUACCUACAACUAUGCCAAAACUGGACUCUUUAAUUGCCUUACUGGAACCAGUAGCUGAUUCAAAGCAAAACGAAACAAAAUUCCUCCUUUCUCUGAUUUAGUGAAUCAAUGAUCUAACUGAACUCAUUUUUGGACUGAGUUUGCGGCACUUGCAGCCCUGAGGGACACAUUCCCCCACCACACUGAGCCUGCACUCCCAUCAAUGCAAAUGAACAUUUUGCUUAUUCAGAUUGGGGGGGUGAAGGAAGUCACAAAAGGGUUAAUACAUAUGGCAUUUCAUUGUAAUAUGUACUCACUACUAACUAAAUUAAAAGAGAUGUGAGUUAUUAAAAACUCCAUCUUAAGAAAGUAACAGAAAUCAGAGUUCAGAUUCGUUGUUACUGAGUUUCCAACCAACACCUGUGAGUUAAACCUACGGCCACCCUGAAAACGGUUCAUAUUUUCAAAAGCUUCAUCGAAGAUGAGCUGCACUAAAGAUUCAUAUUACAUAUCAUGCUGCAAUAAGAAAAUCAAAUAAGGCCUUUCCAUAUUCAAUAAUAAAGUUUAAAGAAAAGUAAUAUUUGUUUAGCCAGUUAGCCAGAAAUUAGAUGUAUCAGAAUACAUCAUUCUUUGAGCAUUUUAGAAAAAUCAGGGUAUUUCUACAUUGUGUUUUUCUUUGUAAGCCCUCAAAAAAUAUAGAGAAUAUUCUUGAAAUUAUAGUGUUUGUCUUCUGGAACAAAAAAUACUAAUCAAGGAAAUCUACAAAUUUAAUGGUUUAUUGAGUUUCCACAGGAAACACUGUGUGAGGAGGCUGAGGCUUAGAAGUUCA